rnacentral:lncRNA from 1 species
AGACAAUUUAUAUGAGAUGCAGUGUGGAGAACAGAAAACUAACCAAAAAUGAAUGAUACAGUAUCGGCUUACGCUGUUCUCUCAUUCUAUUUUGCAUGACUCAACAACUGUAAAAGUCAGAUACAUGAUCUCAAGCCAAGUUCUCAGCUUCUGUUUAUUCAAUGACCCACUGACAAAUAGGCAAGAAAGCAAAACUGAAGGAAAAGCUCCACAUCUGUCAUGCUGGAGAAAAGCAGGAAAAUUCCCUCUUCAGAUACGAAGAGGGCAACAUACAGAAAGACUGUUCAGUUCACCUCCAAGAAUAUAAGAUUUUGAAAUUAAAAUAACUUUGUGUAAUAGGGAAUAUAAAUGGGAAAAGGCAAAAUUGCUGUCAGAACAAUACAGGAACGUAGAUUCUGGAAGUUCUG